rnacentral:rRNA from 1 species
CCUACGGGAGGCAGCAGUGAGGAAUAUUGGUCAAUGGACGAGAGUCUGAACCAGCCAAGUAGCGUGAAGGAUGACUGCCCUAUGGGUUGUAAACUUCUUUUAUAAAGGAAUAAAACGAGGCACGUGUGCCUUUUUGCAUGUACUUUCUGACUAAGGAUCGGCUACCUCCGUGCCAGCAGCCGCGGUAAUACGGAGGAUGCGAGCGUUAUCCGGAUUUAUUGGUUUUCAAGGGUGCGCAGGCGGAGGUGCAAGUCAGUGGUCAACUUUCGGGGCUCAACCCCGUACUGCCGUUGAAACUGCAUCCAGUGAGUGCGCGAGAAGUAUGCGGAAGGAGUGGGGUAGCGGUGAAAGGCAUAGAUAGCACGCAGAACUCCGAGUGCGAAGGCAGCAUACCGGCGCGCAACUGACGCGCAUGCAAGAAAGCGUGGGUAUCGAACAGGAUUAGAUACCCGGGUAGUC